AUUCUCAGAGAAGGGGCCAAGGCACUUGGAGGGAACAGAAUUAGGACAGCUGACUUAAACAGACCGAAGGGAUAAAGAAGGAGUUUUGAAAGGGAUAUGAGUUCAUCUUGCUCUCUUCUGCUGUUCAAGGGCUAGUUGGGCAUCAGUUGGGAGGUGCUACAGACUGCAUUGUUUGAAUGGCUAUGUAUUAGUGGAUGAAGGAAAUACAUCCUUUUCUUCCUCAAUAGAGCUACAUCCAAGGUACAGAGCUUCAAUAGAAUCCAGUAAAAAUUGCAGAAGAAUAUUAGAGAAGGACUGGAUUUUUAUGACAAGGAGAAUUUAACUUCAGGACUAAUCAAGAUUACCGGAGUUGACUGCGGGAAGGAGGAGAAAAAAAGGAGAAAGCAAAAACAGAGAAGUGAUUUACAGAAGAAGAAAAUGUGAAGUCUGCUAUUUUGUCUAGGUCUGAAUAUUACUUCCACAGAUACUUGCUAAGCCUAUUUGUUAUAUUCUUACACUGAAAAAGAAGAAAUGUUACCACUGGAACCAGUUCUAAAGGUAGAAAGAGAUGGGACAGCAGAGAUUUUGAGGGAGUCUUCAUCAGUCCACAGGGUCAUAAAUGAAUUUGUGUCCCAGAGCAUGACAAGUGCAAAAGGAAGGAAACAGUGCUGGAUAAGCUGUUGUCUUGAGAGUUAGAGCAUUAAUACAUCUUAGGGCAGCACACUACUGAAUGCCCAAAGGAGAAAGAAGACUUUAUAACAAUGUGUGCAGAGUGAUGAAAGGAAAGGGGCAUUUCAUAGCUUAAGCAACUUCUUGCAUGGUGUUUAAAAGACUUGCACUUACAGAGAGGACAAAACCCUCCAUUAUGUGAUGACAGAAUAUGUUAAUUAUGUACCUGAAAUUACAUCUUUUCACUAUCUUUGGAACUAAAUUAUGUAAAACACGUCAACGGUGAGAUCUCAUUUCAGCUCUUUAAAGUUAUAACCAAUCAAUUAAUUCAUGUUCUCAUUUUUAUUUUUUUAUCUGUCAAUCCUGUAAGCCUGAAAAACACAAUGAGAAAAUUUGUACAACUCUGUCAUGCCACAGAAGAUCAAAGUUAAGAUUUAAAUGAGUUUAUUAAUGGCCUCUAUUCUGUAUUUCCUUCUAGGAAUCACAGAUAGUAUCAAAUAAGUUUUCAAUGAUGUGACAUGAAUAAAACAUU
ensembl:lncRNA